GCACACCGGUCACAUUUUGUUCCAUCCAUCCAUCAUCGUUAACCGCUUAUCCGCACUCGGGUCGCGGGGGGCUGGAGCAUAUAGAUAUAGACAAUCACACUGUCAUUCACACUUACGGGCAAUUUAGAGUCACCAAUUGAACCUCCAAUGGAUUACAUUUCUCUUUAAAGAAUAUGUAGAUGAGUCCAAAAUACCGGAGUCAGAUUUCUGCAUUUCUAAUACUUCAGAUAGGGAAACCUGUCAAAACAUAUCACCUGGACAAAGCUACACGAGGCACCAUAUUCUGACCAGAAGAGCUGACAUCAUCCAGAAGCUUGUGCAUGAGCAGGAGAGUAGGCCAGACUGGAAAUGGAUACGAUCGAUAGCACAGACAGGACAAGAUGGCUAAGGAAGAAUUAUGGUGUCCGGAGCAGGAGAUUUGCC